UACAGAGGGGGCAAGCGUUAUUCGGAAUUAUUGGGCGUAAAGGGCGCGUAGGCGGCUUUGCAAGUGGCGGGGGAAAGCCCUCGGCUUAACCGAGGAACUGCCUGUCAGACUGUGAGGCUUGAGACCGGGAGAGGUGAGUGGAAUUCCCCAAGUAGAGGUGAAAUUCGUAGAUAUACGGAGGAACACCAGCGGCGAAGGCGGGUAGCUGGGCCAACACUGACGCUGAUGUGCGAAAGCUAGGGGAGCAAACGGG
rnacentral:rRNA from 1 species